AAAAAAAGCCGGAAUAGCUCAGUUGGUARAGCAGAGGACUGAAAAUCCUCG
rnacentral:tRNA from 1 species